rnacentral:rRNA from 1 species
UACGUAGGGUCCAAGCGUUGUCCGGAUUUAUUGGGCGUAAAGAGCUCGUAGGCGGUUCGGUAAGUCGGAUGUGAAAACUCAGGGCUCAACCCGGAGACGCCAUCCGAUACUGCUGUGACUGGAGUCUGGUAGGGGAUCACGGAAUACCUGGUGUAGCGGUGAAAUGCGCAGAUAUCAGGUGGAACACCGAUGGCGAAGGCAGUGAUCUGGGCCAGUACUGACGCUGAGACGCGAAAGCGUGGGGAGCGAACAGG